GACGAACGCUGGCGGCGUGCUUAACACAUGCAAGUCGAACGGAAAGGCCCUACUUUUGUGGGGUGCUCGAGUGGCGAACGGGUGAGUAACACGUGAGUAACCUGCCCUUGACUUUGGGAUAACUUCAGGAAACGGCGGCUAAUACCGGAUAGGAGAUCCUGCUGCAUGGUGGGGGUUGGAAAGUUUCGGCGGUUGGGGAUGGACUCGCGGCUUAUCAGCUUGUUGGUGGGGUAGUGGCUUACCAAGGCUUGGACGGGUAGCCGGCCUGAGAGGGUGACCGGCAACAUGGGGACGGGGAUACGGCCCAGAUUCCUACGGGGGGCAGCAGUGGGGAAUAUUGCACAAGGGGCGAAGGCCGGAUGCAGCACCGCCGCUUGCGGGAUGACGGCCUUCGGGUUGUAAACCGCUUUCGCCUGUGACGAGGCGAGAGGGACGGUAAUGGAUAAAGAAGCACCGGCUAAUUACGU
rnacentral:rRNA from 1 species